rnacentral:rRNA from 1 species
UAAGCGGAGGAAAAGAAACCAACAGGGAUUGCCUCAGUAGCGGCGAGUGAAGCGGCAAGAGCUCAGAUUUGAAAUCUCACCUAGUGUGCGAGUUGUAAAUUGCAGGUUGGAGUCUCGGGUUAGACGUGUGUGCAAGUCCCUUGGAACAGGGUGCCACUGAGGGUGAGAGCCCCGUAMCGUGCAUGUCGACACCUGUGAGGCCCUUCUGACGAGUCGAGUUGUUUGGGAAUGCAGCUCUAAGUGGGUGGUAAAUUCCAUCUAAGGCUAAAUAUUGGCGAGAGACCGAUAGCGAACAAGUACUGUGAAGGAAAGAUGAAAAGCACUUUGAAAAGAGAGUGAAACAGCACGUGAAAUUGUUGAAAGGGAAGGGUAUUGGGCUCGACAUGGGAUUUACGCAUCGUUGCCUCUCGUGGGCGGCGCUCUGGGUUUUUCCUGGGCCAGCAUCGGUUUUCGUUGCAGGARAAGGACAAUUGGAAUGUGGCUCCUCGGAGUGUUAUAGCCUUUUGUAGAUGCUGCGUAUGGGGACCGAGGGCUGCGGCGGACUCGUU